rnacentral:rRNA from 1 species
UACGAAGGGUGCAAGCGUUAAUCGGAAUUACUGGGCGUAAAGCGCGCGUAGGUGGUUCAGCAAGUUGGAGGUGAAAUCCCCGGGCUCAACCUGGGAACUGCCUCCAAAACUACUGAGCUAGAGUACGGUAGAGGGUAGUGGAAUUUCCUGUGUAGCGGUGAAAUGCGUAGAUAUAGGAAGGAACACCAGUGGCGAAGGCGACUACCUGGACUGAUACUGACACUGAGGUGCGAAAGCGUGGGGAGCAAACAGGAUUAGAAACCCCCGUAGUCC